rnacentral:lncRNA from 1 species
CCUUCGACUGCUUGUCGAAGUCCUUUUUUUGCCCCAGCCGGUAGGUCUCUAGACGUUACAGAGAACCCCGAACAACCCAAACUGUUAAUCUUUAAUACCCCUUUGUACUUAUGAUCUUGUAUCCACUGACUGUCCUGUUAGAUUAACCCAAUAAAUUUCAUUCACUCCGCAUACUCAAUCCUAUAGACACCCCUUUAAUCCUUCAAUCACAGACGUAACUCGAUUUUACAAAACAGUCAAGAGUAUUCAAACCCACUUCAUUUAAAAAUCUCGAUUCACCAUUACAACACUGACUUCAGCAGCGAUUGCCUCAA